rnacentral:rRNA from 1 species
UACGAAGGGUGCAAGCGUUACUCGGAAUUACUGGGCGUAAAGCGUGCGUAGGUGGUGAGCUAAGUCUGUCGUGAAAGCCCCGGGCUCAACCUGGGAAUGGCGAUGGAAACUGGCUCGCUAGAGUGCGGUAGAGGAGAGUGGAAUUCCCGGUGUAGCAGUGAAAUGCGUAGAUAUCAGGAGGAACACCGAUGGCGAAGGCAGGUCUCUGGGCUGACACUGACGCUCAGGUGCGAAAGCGUGGGGAGCGAACCGG